CAGUCGAACGAGAGAGAAGGAGCUUGCUUCUUCGAUCGAGUGGCGAACGGCUGAUUAACGCGUGAGGAACCUGCCUCAAAGAGGGGGACAACAGUUGGAAACGACUGCUAAUACCGCAUAAGCCCACGGGUCGGCAUCGACCUGAGGGAAAAGGAGCAAUCCGCUUUGAGAUGGCCUCGCGUCCGAUUAGCUAGUUGGUGAGGUAACGGCCCACCAAGGCGACGAUCGGUAGCCGGACUGAGAGGUUGAACGGCCACAUUGGGACUGAGACACGGCCCAGACUCCUACGGGAGGCAGCAGUGGGGAAUAUUGCACAAUGGGGGAAACCCUGAUGCAGCGACGCCGCGUGGAGGAAGAAGGUCUUCGGAUUGUAAACUCCUGUUGUUGAGGAAGAUAAUGACGGUACUCAACAAGGAAGUGACGGCUAACUACGUGCCAGCAGCCGCGGUAAAACGUAGGUCACAAGCGUUGUCCGGAAUUACUGGGUGUAAAGGGAGCGCAGGCGGGAAGACAAGUUGGAAGUGAAAUCUAUGGGCUCAACCCAUAAACUGCUUUCAAAACUGUUUUUCUUGAGUAGUGCAGAGGUAGGCGGAAUUCCCGGUGUAGCGGUGGAAUGCGUAGAUAUCGGGAGGAACACCAGUGGCGAAGGCGGCCUACUGGGCACCAACUGACGCUGAGGCUCGAAAGUGUGGGUAGCAAACAGGAUUAGAUACCCUGGUAGUC
rnacentral:rRNA from 1 species